AACGCAUAUUGCACUCCUUUGGAGUAUGCCUGUUUGAGAAUCUUUAGUAAUUCUUCUUGCUACCUUUCCCUACCUAUCUAUCUAUCUAUCUUAUGUAAUAUUACAUUAUAUAAGUAAGUAAGUACGGUCAAGUAAGGUUAGAAUAGCAAGAGAUAUGAGGAGUCCCUUUCAAUCUUGAUUGAUUUGAAUGAAUGAAAGGGUACCUUGAAAGAGAUUGCUGCAGCGGCACAAGGUGUCUGACGUUAGGAACGACCAGCAGCGACGUAUGUGAAUGAAACCCUGUUUCUCAUAAUGCCGAGAUGUUUGGAAGUGAAUGACUAGUCUUGAGCUCUGCGGUUCAAAAAUACCAAAGAAGGGGCGAAAGCCUCUUGAACCUUGGUCUCAAAUCAGGUAGGAAGACCCGCUGAACUUAA
rnacentral:misc_RNA from 1 species